rnacentral:rRNA from 1 species
UCUUGGUCAUUUAGAGGAAGUAAAAGUCGUAACAAGGUUUCCGUAGGUGAACCUGCGGAAGGAUCAUUACAGUGUUCGCUGCCCUUCGGGGUAGCAAACCUCACCCUUGUAUAUUAUAUCACUUGUUGCUUUGGCAGGCCGCCUUUGGGCACCGGCUUCGGCUGGACCGCGCCUGCCAGAGAACCCCUAAACUCUGUAUGUUAGUGUCGUCUGAGUACUAUAUAAUAGUUAAAACUUUCAACAACGGAUCUCUUGGUUCUGGCAUCGAUGAAGAACGCAGCGAAAUGCGAUAAGUAAUGUGAAUUGCAGAAUUCAGUGAAUCAUCGAAUCUUUGAACGCACAUUGCGCCCGGUGGUAUUCCGCCGGGCAUGCCUGUUCGAGCGUCAUUUAAACCAAUCCAGCUUGCUGGGUCUUGGGCCUUCGCCUCUGGGCGGGCCCCAAAAUCAGUGGCGGUGCUAUCUAGCUCUAAGCGUAGUAAUAUUUCUCGCUAUGGACACUAGGUGGUUACCUGCCAAUAACCCUUAUUUUUCAAAGGUUGACCUCGGAUCAGGUAGGGAUACCCGCUGAACUUAAGCAUAUCAAUAAGCGGAGGAA